CUUCCAGGCCCAAGCAGCUCUCCCACCUCAGUCUCCCAGGGAUGAGGUCUUGCUUCGUUGCCCCCUCUGGUCUCAAACUCCUGAGCGCAAGCGAUCCUCCUGCGUCAGCCUCCCAAAGUGCUGGGAUUACAAACAUGAGCUGCUAUGCCCAGACCAUGGAGAAGCUCUCCUCCCUCUGGCCCAUGAAACCUUUCAGGAAUUUGAUGGAUCAGCUAUCACAUUCCCCUGGCCCCAUCCCCAGUUUGCUUUCCUCCAUGGAAGGAAGUAAUAUUUAAUAAGCAGCUACUAAGUGCUAAACUAAUGCAUUGUUUCACUUCACAUCACUACUCAGAAAGGUAAACACAGUUAUUAUCACCAUGUGACAAAUGAGAAGACUGAAGCUCCCCAAGGUUAAGUAACCUCCCUGAGGUCUCACAGCCAGACUGCAGAGUCCAGGGCCUUGUCAUAUUAUACCGAGCUAAUCUGCCAGUUUUGGUUUUUUUCACUUCGUCCACCAGAACAAAAUUUUGAGUUUAUUUAGCGUGUCUACAGGGUAGAGGCCAUUCUCCCAGCUCUCUGAGGAAGAAGGUGUCCAGGGAAUGCAGAGCUAGCAAUGAGUCAGAGCUGAGGGGAGCACCGGGCCAGGGCCUGCCGAGGAGCGGGGAGUGGAUAGGGUUUCGCUGGGUUCAAAUUCUCCCUCCUAGCUGUGUGGACUGGGGCAAGUCAGGCCACCUCCCUGAACUUCCGGUGCCUCAUCUGUGAAAUGUUUACAGAUGGUGAAAUUGGACUUUCAUUCAAGAUGGCAGACCAAGUACACAUAGAAACCAUUCUUCAAACACUUAGCAAUGACAGGAAAAUACCAGGUAUACAAGAGACCACUGCAGAGAUGCCCAGAGACAAGGGUUGAAGCCCCCCACCACCUACCCAUUAGGAGGCUAGUACCAAUGCAGGGCCCCCUAAUGUAUGAAGCCAAGAGCACAGGCUCUCAUAUACAGCCCUUACAAGAUACACAUGCAAGAAAUAUUCUGAAGAGACAAUGGAUUCACAACCACUUCAUGAAAUUUCCACAAACUCCCCAACUGGAAGAAUUUACGUCUGAGGAAAUAGAGAAUAAUAGUGCAACCUUAAAAGAAUUUUGCAAUAAAUAUAUUAAAAACUCAAAGAGAUAAAGAAGGGAAUAACAGCCAUAAACAAGAACAGGAGGCCGGGUGCAGUGGCUCAUGCCUGUAAUCUCAACACUUUGGG
rnacentral:lncRNA from 10 species